ensembl:lncRNA
GGGUGGGAGGGUCUUUAAACACAGGAUUAGAUACAGCCAGGCUGCAGGUGAUGCCCUAGGGAGGGUGCAUCAUCCCAUCCCAGGGAAGGGUCUUCCCAGUUGAUGAACCCACCCUGAAUCCUGAGAGCAAGAGAGCCCUUUUAAUGAGGUCCAGUGGUUCUGGGACUUGGGCUUAUAUCAGAAUCACCUGCAGAUCUCCAAGACCUGAAAGAGGACUUCUCAGAAUCCUGACUCUGAAUUUGGUCUCAACAUCUGUUUUCUGCAGCUUCUCUCAAGCUCAGAGUUUUCUUAUGCCAGCCUCAAACUGUGCAGAUUCUGACCCUGGGACUUGUUCUUCCCUGUAAGAGCAUCCCUUUGAGCCUGAGGUGUGGACACUGUCUUUGAUUCUUAAGCAUUUAAAAAAUUUUUAUUGGAGUAUAUAGUACUUGAUUUACAAUGUUGUGUUAGUUUCAGGUAUACUUGAUCUUUUAUUUUUUAUUUAUAUUUUGUCCAAAUUUAUGACCCAAAUACUUCAGAAAUUUUUCUUUUGAAAAAAGUAAUUCUCAGUAUGGAUAUUUUCUUUUUUAAAUCUCUAAAUGGUUAAACAAAUGCCUACUACAUGACUUUUUUGGAGAUAUACAAAAAAUGUUUGCAUCUCAAUGGAAAAUAUGCAUUGACUACUGCAUACCCUUUUGAGUUAUCAGAUUAUAGCCCUGUUCGUUUUCUUUGAGCUGUUUUGCAACUCUUUCUAAAUUAUAGGUAACUGAUAUGUAAAUUUCAUCUUGUCAGGUGGUGAUUUUAAUUGACUUCCUCCCCUCUGUGGAAAAACAAGCUUUGUCUCUGCAGUUAAGUGACAUAAUAAAUGUUUUUUUAUUGUGUAAA